UGGGGAAUAUUGCACAAUGGAGGGAACUCUGAUGCAGCGACGCCGCGUGAACGAAGAAGGCUUUCGAGUCGUAAAGUUCUUUUAUAUGGGAAGAUAAUGACGGUACCAUAAGAAAAAGCCCCGGCUAACUACGUGCCAGCAGCCGCGGUAAUACGUAGGUGGCAAGCGUUGUCCGGAAUUAUUGGGCGUAAAGCGCGCGCAGGCGGACUAGCCAGUCAGUCUUAAAAGUUCGGGGCUUAACCCCGUGAUGGGAUUGAAACUACUAGUCUAGAGUAUCGGAGAGGAAAGUGGAAUUCCUAGUGUAGCGGUGAAAUGCGUAGAUAUUAGGAAGAACACCAGUGGCGAAGGCGACUUUCUGGACGAACACUGACGCUGAGGCGCGAAAGCCAGGGGAGCGAACGGG
rnacentral:rRNA from 1 species